rnacentral:misc_RNA from 1 species
GAUGAAGAAACGCAGCGAAAUGCGAUAAGUAAUGUGAAUUGCAGAAUUCAGUGAAUCAUCGAAUCUUUGAACGCACAUUGCGCCCGUCAGUAUUCUGGCGGGCAUGCCUGUUCGAGCGUCAUUACGCCCCUCAAGUCCCCUGUGGACUUGGUGUUGGGGAUCGGCGAGGCUGGUUUUCCAGCACAGCCGUCCCUUAAAUUAAUUGGCGGUCUCGCCGUGGCCCUCCUCUGCGCAGUAGUAAAACACUCGCAACAGGAGCCCGGCGCGGUCCACUGCCGUAAAACCCCCCAACUUUUUAUAGUUGACCUCGAAUCAGGUAGGACUACCCGCUGAACUUAAGCAUAUCAAUAAGCGGAGGA